rnacentral:rRNA from 1 species
CAGUCGCGUUGGCUAGAAAUCAACAUUGCUCUUGCUUUGCGUAUUUUCUGGUUGACGGGUCAGCAUCAAUUUUGACCAUUGGAUAAAGGCAUUGGGAAUGUGGCAUCUCAGGAUGUGUUAUAGCCCAUUGUUGCAUACGGUGGUUGGGAUUGAGGUUUCAGUGCACGCUUCGGUUGUGCUUUGAUGCUGGCGUAAUGGCUUUAAGCGACCCGUCUUGAAACACGGACCAAGGAGUCUAACAUGUAUGCGAGUG